rnacentral:lncRNA from 1 species
CUGUAAUAACAAACUAGUAAAUUAUCUAUAAAUGUAAUGGGGGCAAAGCUAGGAUCAUUCAGGCAGAAGUUGGUAGUCUCUUGGAGAGAGUAAUUGGACCUCUUGAAUGUCCGUACCUAUAUCCUUGUUAUUUUUCUUUCUUACUUAUCAUUUAUAUCCCAGCCUGCUCAUCUAUUAGCAUACCUGUUUCUAUGUAAUUUCAAUUCAUCAACACAAGUUUUGCUUGGUUCCAGUAUUUGAUUUCUUUGUUAGAGUGUUGGAUCAAUUGGUAAUAUUUCAGGUUUUUAUCAAUUGGUAUUAGAGCGGUCGAUUCUAGGGGAGUACGUUGGAGAAGAUGGUGAUGCAACAGAAAGAAAAACGAGCCGUUGAUUCAGGAUUGGAUCCAGGUGGCCGACUUAACACACAUAUAUUCUAUGGGGAUAAUUUAGAUUCGUGACUAUUUGAGGCACAGCGAUGCAUAAUCAUGAAUCGCGACUUACCGGAGAGGAAAAAGGUAGAAGCCGCAGUAGUUUGUUUCCUUAGAGAGGCUUGGGCAUGGUUUCAAGAGAUGGACGAUCGUUGUCCGAUACAAACCUGGGAAGAAUUGAAGGCGUUGGUGUUGACUGAAUUUUGCAGGAAAGAGGUCUCCAUGGUUGAGAAAAUUCCGACAUGUAAACAGUCGAGUAAGAGAAAAGGAGAUACCAUAGCAACAGAAUUGUCACUGACGAAUUCUGAUAAACAGCUCCAAGCCCAUGAGAUUCGGAAGAGGACAGAGGGGGUAUGUUUAGUGAGCAAAAGCCGGCAGUGAAAAAAAUCGGUGGAGGUGAAGAAAUCAUCGAUGGCGAAGCAAAGGGAUUAAGAGGAAAAAGGGGUGAAAGCCACUUCCUCCAACCAAUUCUUACCUCUGAAACUCCACUGCAAUAUGAUGAAAUUUGGAGAAAUGCAAACAAUUGGAACCGUAAAGAAAAACUGAGAAGGACAGAGACAUGCGAUCAUGGGUUCGAAAUGCCGAUUUCAUAGAUAUUGGUAGCUCCGUUGCAAGUGAAGACUGGUGCGGUGAAUGUGGAAAAGGAAGCCGUGCUGGAGUCGGAGAGGGAGAGAAGGGAUGGGCUGCCUCAUCGUCGAAAGUUACCCACGCAUCUGAUUUUCCAUCCAAUUCUGAUGAAAUUUAGGGAAGUAGAAAUAGCCGAAGUCGACGUAAUGAACCCACUGUCAUAAAAAAUCGAAGACCAAUUGGAAUCUCACCGUUAGCAUCACCGGCAAUCCCACAGAACGUGCUGAAGAAAAAAGUUGGACUAUGGGCUGAAAUCGAGGGAUAAGGUUGAGAUCAGGUUUUGCCUCAAGUUUUGGGCCAAAAUAUGAUGUUAUCCCAAAGGGGAGUGGACUAAAAAGAGUAUCUAAAAAAGGCCCAACCUAAUUCAAGCUCAUAUACCAUUAAACAUCAUAAUAGCAAACCAAAUAUUUUCUCCAACACUUUCGACCCAAAACUUAGUAAAACUAUUCUGCCUAACACGCUCCCAAGUUACAAUUAUAACCCUUUCUUGUGCAGCCCAAAUUACAAAAAUAAAUGGGGAAAAUUCAUAAAUCCUGUAUCAAUUAUGGAGACUUAAAAAAUCAGGUCUUAAAUUUAUAAAAUGCAAAAAUCAGGUUUAUUAGUUAAUUAAUUAAAAAUAUUUAUUAAUAAAAU